UUUCACUACCUGUCCCUGGCCCCUAAUUCCUGCCUUCCCAUUCUCUUUCCCCUGCCUCCUCCUUUCCCUUUUCUAGGUCUCAGACUCCCUGCCUCCUCCAGCAUUCUCUCUCCGUGUUCCUAGUCUCCUGCUUCAUCCUUGCUCCUUUCCCCUUCUCUCGCUUGUCUCCAUCUUUAUUUUCCUCCUCUCCACAGCCACCUUUCCUCCUUCCUCUACUCUCUAUUCCUCUCCUUUAUUAGUCCUCAUCAUUUCCCUCUCCUUGUGUUUCCCAACUUCCCUCACCCCUUACUUCCUUUUCCCCCUCAUCCCUUUCCUCCCCAUCCCUCCCCAUGCCUUUUCCUCCCAGUACCAUCUCCUAUGUUCCCUCUUUCCCUCCUUCUUUGCCUCACCUGACUCUCCCCUCCCCCUGAGCCUCUCAGUCUCCUCCACAGCCUCCCUGUGUAAGCCAUUACUUUCUUCCCCCAUCUCCUGUCCCCACUUUCCUGAUUGCCCCCCCUUCUCUCCCUCCCACAUCUGGAAAAUUUGCCCAGUGACCUGGCAUGACGGGAGGUGUCUGGCUUGUGGUCUACAGCUGGGCAACCAAACUACCCCCAGGCCUCCACCUCCGGAGUCUCGUUUCCAUGGCAUCCCUCUCCCAGGAGCCUUUCUCCUCCCCACCACCCCCCAACUCCCCAGUGUCUGGUUGACUCUGAAAGAAGGUGCCUGGCCUACCUGUCCCCAUGAGAGGGGGAGAGAGGAGAAAGAGAGAGAGAGAGAGAAGAGAGAGAGAGAGAGAGAGAGAGAGAGAGAGAGAGAGAGAGAGUGUCUCAGCAGUAUGGAAUGAUUAUCCUUUGUUUAAAACUUCAGGGUUCCACACCAUAGUGGCUCUCUUCUUGGAAAAGGGCUGGUACAGAGCCAUAAUUAGCUGUAACUACCCAAAGACAAAUUCAGUUGAGUUAGGGAAGAUAGGCUCAGAGGACAGCCUUAUGUUGGGCAUAAUUGCACUGGGAAAGGAGCAGUCUGGCCCUCACUCCACCCCAUCACACACACACACACACACACACACACACACACACAUGUUCUGAGAGAAGGAUUCUUCACUAUGGGACCCUGGCAGUAGUCCUGGCAGUUGAAUU
rnacentral:lncRNA from 1 species